rnacentral:rRNA from 1 species
AUUGAACGCUGGCGGCAGGUCUAACACAUGCAAGUCGAGCGAGCGGCGGACGGGUGAGUAAUGUAUGGGGACUGCCCGAUAGAGGGGGAUAACUACUGGAAACGGUGGCUAAUACCGCAUACUAUCGGAUAACCCAUAUGGGAUUAGCUAGUAGGUGGGGUAAAGGCUCACCUAGGCGACGAUCUCUAGCUGGUCUGAGAGGGUGAUCGGCCACACUGGGACUGAGACACGGCCCAGACUCCUACGGAGGCAGCAGUAGGGAAUCUUGGACAAUGGGCGAAAGUCUGACCGAGCCACGCCGCGUGAAUGAAGAAGGUUUUCGGGUUGUAAAGCUCUGUUAUUGGGGAAGCGUUAUCUAACCAAGAAGCCACGGCUAACUACGUGCCAGCAGCCGCGGUAAUAC